rnacentral:tRNA from 1 species
ACUUUUCUAGUAUAAAACGUACAAAUGACUUCCAAUUAUUAAAUCUUGGUUAAACCCAAGGAAAAGUA